rnacentral:rRNA from 1 species
GACGAACGCUGGCGGCGUGCUUAACACAUGCAAGUCGAACGGAAAGGCCCUGCUUUUGUGGGGUGCUCGAUUGGCGAACGGGUGAGUAACACGUGAGUAACCUGCCCUUGACUUUGGGAUAACUUCAGGAAACUGGGGCUAAUACCGGAUAGGAUCUCCUGCUGCAUGGUGGGGGUUGGAAAGUUUCGGCGGUUGGGGAUGGACUCGCGGCUUAUCAGCUUGUUUGUGGGGUAGUGGCUUACCAAGGCUUUGACGGGUAGCCGGCCUGAGAGGGUUAACGGCCACAUUGGGACUGAGAGACGGCGCAGACUCCUACGGGAGGCAGCAGUGGGGAAUAUGACACAAUGGGCGGAAGCCUGAUGCAGCAACGCCGCGUGCGGGAUGACGGCCUUCGGGUUGUAAACCGAUGUCGCCUGUGACGAAGCGUGAGUGACGGUAAUGGGUAAAGAAGCACCGGCUAACUACGUG